GGGAGUUUGGCCGAGUGGUUAAGGCGUCGUGUUUAGGUAGCGCCGGGUUCUCCCGGCAUACUUCAAAUCCCGCGAUGGGCAACCGCGCAGGUUCGAAUCCUGCAGCUCUCA